AAGAACUACCUUCUUACCUAUACAUGAUACGACGGACAAAUCUGGGUACAGUCGCGCGUCUUCAAAUUGAUGAGAGUGGAAGAUUCAACUAUAUGUUCAUUGCUUUUGGUGCCAGUAUCGCU
rnacentral:sRNA from 1 species